rnacentral:lncRNA from 1 species
UUGGGUCAAAGUAAGAAAGCAAGCAAAAGAAGCUAUAUAUAGUAAAUAUGCAAGCAAAAGAAUCAACUUGACACAGAGUUGAUAAUACACCAAAAGACAAGGUAUCAAGUGAUAAUAAGAUACCAAAUAAAAAACUAUCACUUGAAGGAUAUCAAUUAAAAAAUACCUCAAGGAAUGAGAUAUCCAUUUACACAUGCCAAAUAAAAGGAAACAAGAUACCAACUGAAGGAAAGCAAACACGAGGUAUCUAGUUUCCAAAAGAGAGC